rnacentral:rRNA from 1 species
AUUGAACGCUGGCGGCAUGCUUUACACAUGCAAGUCGAACGGUAACAGGCCUUCGGGUGCUGACGAGUGGCGAACGGGUGCGUAAUGCAUCGGAACGUACCCAGAGGUGGGGGAUAACGCAGCGAAAGCUGUGCUAAUACCGCAUGUGAUCUGAGGAUGAAAGCGGGGGACCGAGCAGCAAUGUUUGGCCUCGCGCCUUUGGAGCGGCCGAUGUCGGAUUAGCUAGUUGGGGGGGUAAAGGCCUACCAAGGCGACGAUCCGUAGCUGGUCUGAGAGGACGACCAGCCACACUGGGACUGAGACGCGGCCCAGACUCCUACGGGAGGCAGCAGUGGGGAAUUUUGGACAAUGGGCGCAAGCCUGGUCCAGCAAUGCCGCGUGCGGGAAGAAGGCCUUCGGGUUGUAAACCGCUUUUGGCAGGAACGAAACGGUGUCCGCUAAUACCGGGCGCUAAUGACGGUACCUGCAGAAUAAGCACCGGCUAACUACGUG